GAACAGCACAAGUGCUGUUCCCAGAGCUAUGAGAUGACUGGGAACCUGAUUGAGAAGCAUAUCUCAAGGACUUGUACUCAUGCAGAUCACAGUUCAAUCCAGGAUCUACUAAGUUGCUACCACUAGAGCUGCUUGAACUGCCUGUAUAAUUAAAGUAAUUAGAGUCAAGAUUUCGAUAUGAACUUUUGGGGUUUUGAUCUAAACAAGGCACUGAGUCACAAUUGGGCGAAGGAGGAUACUUCUCUCCAAUAAGCUCAUACAAAGAUUUCUCAGCAGCUUGAAGUGCUGCUGAAGAUUCCUGAAACAUACAAGUUUUCUCUUCUAUAUCUUCNNNCAUCUCAUUAAUGUACUUCAGAACCACGUCACUGAAAUCAAAAUCCUCAUGUGAAUCCCCA
rnacentral:misc_RNA from 1 species